CCAGACUCCUACGGGAGGCAGCAGUGAGGAAUAUUGGUCAAUGGGCGGAAGCCUGAAUCAGCCAAGUCGCGUGAGGGAAUAAGGCCCUACGGGUCGUAAACCUCUUUUGCCGGGGAGCAAGGGCGGGGACGUGUCCCGGCCCGGAGAGUACCCGGAGAAAAAGCAUCGGCUAACUCCGUGCCAGCAGCCGCGGUAAUACGGAGGAUGCGAGCGUUAUCCGGAUUUAUUGGGUUUAAAGGGUGCGUAGGCGGGCUUUUAAGUCAGCGGUAAAAAUUCGGGGCUCAACCCCGUCCGGCCGUUGAAACUGGCGGGCUGGAGUUGGAGAGAAGUACGCGGAAUGCGCGGUGUAGCGGUGAAAUGCUUAGAUAUCGCGCAGAACCCCGAUUGCGAAGGCAGCAUACCGGCGCCCAACUGACGCUGAAGCACGAAAGCGUGGGUAUCGAACAGGAUUAGAUACCCAUGUA
rnacentral:rRNA from 1 species